GGCGCUUUGGCCGAGUGGUUAAGGCGAUGCCCUGCUAUUGAUGAGUGUCCUCCGACGUUCGAUAGAUUAGGCAUUGUGUUCGCACGCGCAGGUUCGAAUCCUGCAGGCGUCG
rfam:Verticillium dahliae VdLs.17 supercont1.19 genomic scaffold, whole genome shotgun sequence.